GACGAACGCUGGCGGCGUGCCUAAUACAUGCAAGUAGAACGCUGAAGAGAGGAGCUUGCUCUUCUUGGAUGAGGUGCGAACGGGUGAGUAACGCGUAGGUAACCUGCCUGGUAGCGGGGGAUAACUAUAGGAAAGGAUAGCUAAUACCGCAUAACAUUGAUUAUUGCAUGAUAGUUAAUUGAAAGAUGCAACUGCUUAACUACCAGAUGGACCUGCGUUGUAUUAGCUAGUUGGUGAGGUAACGGCUCACCAAGGCGACGAUCCAUAGCCGACCUGAGAGGGUGGUCGGCCCCCCUGGGACUGGGACACGGCCCAGACUCCUACGGGACGCAGCAGUAGGGAAUCUUCGGCAAUGGGGGGAACCCUGACCGAGCAACGCCGCGUCAGUGGAGAAGGUUUUCGGUUCGUAAAGCUCUGUUGUAAGUGAAGAACGGGUGUGGGAAUGGACAGUUCACUCUGUGACGGUAUCUUAACAGAAAGCACCGGCUAACUACGUG
rnacentral:rRNA from 1 species